GCACCGCGCGGGGAGCGCGCCGGGGUGCGAGCGGUGCGCGCUCCGAGUGGCCGGGACGCGCGCCAGUCCUGGGAGCUUGCACUGCUCGGGGGGGUUACGUGGAGACUUGCGUGGUGUCCUUUACCGCCGCCGCCUGCCCUCCGGUCCCUGGGCGCUGUGGCUCCGCGUUAGGGUGCUGGCGGGAGGGGUGCCGAUCCGGUUCUGCGCGUCCGGUGGGUUCUCCGGGCCAGCGCCCCGCGGCGCCCGGGCUUUAUGCUGUAAUUGCGCCCGGCGGCGCCCGGCGCCCGCACCGGCGCGCGUCUCGCCCGUGCCGUGCACACGCCCUGCACCGCCCCACUUUGCACACGCACACGCACACGAGUCCUUGGGGCCCUGGAGCAUCGUGCUCGCCUCGCGCCUCCCGGCCCGCCCUUGCGCUCAGUCGCUCCCCAGGGAGCGCCCAGCUGCGAGCAAAACAAGCCUCGCUGCGAAACAGUCCCCCGGGGAGACAGCCCUUUCCCCGGAGCACAGACACCACACCUUCACCGCGCAAGCCUUCGGUCCGGGCCGAACCCGGGCGCUCCGGCGCCUACGCACCCCACGAUUCCUCCCCGGUGCUCCGUACGCCGCCGUGAUCCUCCAUUCCACGGCUCCUCGAUAUCCAUUAUUCAUUAGUGAAUUUUCUCCAUUUUCAUGCAAGGUCGCAGAAGCAGGCUAGCUUUUCCCCCAUCGUUCAGUGGAGGAUCAGCAGUGCUACUUGGAAGUUGGUAUUGGAAGAGGCCAUUCCCUGUCUACGUGUCCCUGUCUUGAAGAGGAGAUAAUAACACACUAGUACUUUCGCAAUGCAAUUUUGUUACCGCAAGUGUCAUGCUUUGAAACGACUGUGGAUGAAAGAGACAAAUUCCCCGCUCUCGUUUCCCUUCAGGGUCCCAUGAGCUCCUUUCUUCUUACUGCCAUAUUUUAAGCCCUCCGGUAGUCAGAUUCACAACCAGCCUCUAAAGGGUCGUCAAAUGUCUGUUGUAUCGUGUUGUGUAUUUCCCCUCCCGAGAACCCACAUCCCUUAGAAGGAUCUGAAGGCAGAGGGAGCUGACAUGGAGGCUUCUGCCUUGUCUAUUCAUUUUAUUUACGUUCAUUUAAUUCUCGACUGCAGAGAACCUACAUCUUUUGUAUUUCUCAAAGGUAGAGGUAUUAUCACAUGCUCCAGAAGGGAGUGCAAAAUAACAUCUUCAAAAUAGGCAGCGCCCACGAAGUAGACUGCUGCUACAUAAAUGAGGAAUCCAGGUAUCUGGGUGGACCAGAGUGGACCAAUCAUUGUGAUAAGCAGAGCUUCACUUUUUGGAAAAUUGAACCAAAAUACAUUAUUUAGCAUUGUCUUUGGUUCCCUUUCUUAUCCCCCUCCCUCAGUUUAAUCAGGCAAAAAUCGUCCUCUUCUCCAAUGAUAUUAGACUCUGAGCACCGAGAAAAGGCAGAACUAUAGAGACUAUAUGUUCUGAACCCCAAACUGGACUCAUAGUUUGGCAUGUGGACCUGUGACAGUAGAGAUAAUGUUUGAAACUAAAGUUGACCCAGAAACAUUGAGGCAUAUGGUGGCCAUGAAUGUUAAGACUGCAGAGCAGUGUCACUUAUUAGUGGUUGUUUGAACUGAUAAAGUAUGAGUAGGAACCCCAGGCACAACUGUAAAAAUGGGUACGUUCAUGUUUCGGGUU
rnacentral:lncRNA from 10 species